rfam:TPA: Bos taurus chromosome 12, whole genome shotgun sequence.
UCCCUAGUGGCUCAGCUGGUAAAGAAUCUGCCUGCAAUGCAGAAGACUUGGGUUUGAUCCCUGGGUUGGGAA